GGUUUCUAACUAAAACAUAAUUAUAACCGAGGCAGAAGAGAACAAAGCGCUAGAAGGGACAUUGCCUGAGCUACUCGGUGGAAUAUAUACUGAAGACAUCUCAGCAGCCCAAUAUUAACAGUUCUUGUUUCUACUUGGUAACAACAAAAUGUGAGCUAAUUUCAGUUUGGAAGGAGAAAAUGAAGGGAAGAGUCCCAAUCUUAAAUUAUUAGAGCAAAUAGGGGAAGGGUGGUUUGUACUUUGCAGAAAAUAAAACCACAGGGAAGUAUGAUUUACUCAUGCUCUUACAGGAAAUAUGUAGAAGUAAAGAGGUUAUCUGUCCCUCCUGACUCACAGCCCUGGAUUUGGGUGCAAGACCAUCCUUCCGCUGUUAUGGCACACUGGUGUUUCUCAGUGAACUAACUAUGAUCCCUGCAAAAAAUACUUAUUUGUCCUUUGUUCAUAUAAAAUUUGCAACAGUUCCAUGCCAAAAUUUGACAUAUAUCAAAACAGAAGCUUGACAGCUUUAAUUUAUAUUGAACAUAGCUCCCUUGAGUAUAUUCCUUGAAUAUUCCUCCCAUCACUGAAUUAUUUGAGCCGUCAUGAAGAAGAGAGUCUGGGAGGUAAUACUGCUACUUUUAUCUACAUUGGCUCUGGCCAGGAAUGACAGAUAAUGACAUUUCAGCAGGGAUUUCUUUUCUCUUCUUUGAGCAUCAGACUGCCUGAGGAAUGGCUGAGAUCCUCUGAUCCUUUACCAGAUAGCACAAUUUUCGGGAGCUCUCGUAUGAUGAUGACCAGAGUCCUGAUAACUCUUGGUCCAUACCCAGAGAACUCUCAAGAGCGAUGGCAGAACUGCAGCAAAGAUAUCUGUGGUAGAGUAAGAAGUAUGAACCUAAACUUUACAUGUCAGCAGGAGGAGCAGCAUAAAGAGCUUAUGUUUGAACUUUAUCUGAGAUGAAGAAAGUUUUGUUCGACAGUCUGAUUUUUAUCAGAUUUUGAAUUAGAAGAGGAGGAGCCAAGUGUCUUGGUUUGUUUUGCAGCAGAGAUUUUAAGACUAUAAUUUGUCCAAUGAUUCUAGUGCCAUUCUGCUAGGAACCGGCAGAAGUAAUCAACAUUGGUGGGGUUUUGGGCCUGUGUGGUUAUAAAAAAGCCUUCUAAAUCCUGUGCUAUGCACUGUUCUUGCUACGACACUGGGUCUCGGAGUGUCAUUCUACGGCAUUGUAGGUUAUUUGGCUGAAGAAAGCAGGAGCUUGAACUGAGAGCAACAUCUGUUUUAGACUAUCUAUAUGAAAAGAUUAUGAAUAUCAUCUUCUACUUCACUAUUUUUCCAUCCAUGAUAAUUCAUAUUUUAUUUGUUCAUGAAGAUGUAAGGAGCACUGAUGCUGAAAAUAAAUUAUAUUACUGUUACUCCUGACA
rnacentral:lncRNA from 1 species